rnacentral:rRNA from 1 species
AUGGGCUCCAAACCCGCGGACGCCGCAGAGAGCCAGCAGCAGCAGGUGAAGGAGGAGCAGUCCUCCAUGGCGGACGUGUACAACCACGAGCUGACGCCGCUGCAGAAGCACGCCGCCUUCUUCGACCGGAACAGGGACGGCAUCAUCUACCCCUCCGAGACCUACCAAGGGCUGCGUGCCAUCGGCUGCGGCGUCGUCGUGUCCGCCGCCGGCGCCGUCCUCAUCAACGGCCUCCUCGCGCCCAAGACCGUACCGGCGAACGUGAAACCUCCGGCUUUCAAGUUCCCAAUCUACGUGAAGACCAUCCAGCAGGGCAAGCAUGGGAGUGACACAGACGUGUACGAUACCAACGGAAGGUUCGUUCCUGAAAAGUUUGAGGAGAUAUUCAAGAAGCAUGCCCACACCAGGCCUGAUGCCCUAACGAGCAAAGAGCUGGGGGAGAUGCUUAAAGCAAACAGGGACCCUAAAGAUUUCAAAGGACGGGUGGGCGCCUUCGGUGAGUGGAGACUUCUCUAUGCACUGUGCAAAGACAAGGAGGGGUUUCUUCACAAGGAGACUAUGAAGGCGGUCUAUGAUGGCAGGGUGUUUGAAAAGUUGGAGCGAGAAAAGAAGGAAGCUAAGGAAUUUGCCAAGAAGAAAUGA